CGUAACAAGGUCUCCGUAGGUGAACCUGCGGAGGGAUCAUUACACAAUAUGAAGGCGGGCUGGACACCCCCAGCUGGGCACUGCUUCACGGCGUGCGCGGCUGGGCCGGCCCUGCUGAAUUAUUCACCCGUGUCUUUUGCGUACUUCUUGUUUCCUGGGUGGGCUCGCCCGCCAUCAGGACCAACCAUAAACCUUUUGCAAUAGCAAUCAGCGUCAGUAACAACGUAAUUAAUUACAACUUUCAACAACGGAUCUCUUGGUUCUGGCAUCGAUGAAGAACGCAGCGAAAUGCGAUACGUAGUGUGAAUUGCAGAAUUCAGUGAAUCAUCGAAUCUUUGAACGCACAUUGCGCCCUUUGGUAUUCCAAAGGGCAUGCCUGUUCGAGCGUCAUUUGUACCCUCAAGCUUUGCUUGGUGUUGGGCGUCUUUUGUCUCCAGUUCGCUGGAGACUCGCCUUAAAGUCAUUGGCAGCCGGCCUACUGGUUUCGGAGCGCAGCACAAGUCGCGCUCUUAGCCAGCCAAGGUCAGCGUCCAGCAAGCCUUUUUUCAACCUUUGACCUCGGAUCAGGUAGGGAUACCCGCUGAACUUAAGCAUAUCA
rnacentral:rRNA from 1 species